GCCUACGGGAGGCAGCAGUGGGGAAUAUUGGACAAUGGGGGAAACCCUGAUCCAGCCAUGCCGCGUGUGUGAAGAAGGCUUUCGGGUUGUAAAGCACUUUCAGUGAGGAGGAAGGCCUUAAAGCUAAUACCUUUAAGGAUUGACGUUACUCACAGAAGAAGCACCGGCUAACUCCGUGCCAGCAGCCGCGGUAAUACUGGAGGGUGCAAGCUGUUAAUCUGGAAUUACUUGGGCGUAAAGCGCGCGUAGGUGGUUGAGUAAGCGAGAUGUGAAAGCCCCGGGCUUAACCUGGGAACGGCACUUCGAACUGCUCGGCUAGAGUGUGGUAGAGGGUAGUGGAAUUUCCUGUGUAGCGGUGAAAUGCGUAGAUAUAGGAAGGAACACCAGUGGCGAAGGCGGCUACCUGGACCAACACUGACACUGAGGUGCGAAAGCGUGGGGAGCAAACAGGAUUAGAUACCCUGGUAGUCCACGCCGUAAACGAUGUCAACUAGCCGUUGGGGAUCUUGAAUCCUUAGUGGCGCAGCUAACGCACUAAGUUGACCGCCUGGGGAGUACGGCCGCAAGGUUAAAACUCAAAU
rnacentral:rRNA from 1 species